rnacentral:lncRNA from 1 species
AUAAAGUGAUCAAACAAUUUUCUGUUUUCAAGAAGAAAAACUAGUUGUAUGAGCAUUAUAUGCAAAGUAGAAUAAACAUGACGAAAUUUUCCAAAUUAGUUUAUGCUAUGAUUCUCCUUCUUUUCAUAUUUCUUGUUGCAACUAAUGCCAUGAAUGCGAGUAAGCUAAUUUUUCUUUUUCUUUUUAAUUUAUUCUUUACUUUAUUACAUAUUCUUUCAUCUCCUUUUAUUUUUUUUUUGGUAAGAUCUCCUUUGAGUAACACUCUUUUAAUCUUGUUUUUUUUUUAAAAAAAAAAACACUAUUUUAAUCUUGAAUGUACAUCCAAUCAUUUUGUCUAAUUACUUUUGACAUUGAUUUUCCAGGUGAACGGUGUAUUCCUCCUCAAAUGCUUAUGUGCGAUUUGCAUGGGUGUCACUGUGGGACGUGGGAACAAACAGCUUGAAAAUUUAGAAGAAAAGUGAAAGAAAGUUUAAUAAGAAUUAAAUAAUUUAGAUAUUUUAGUUAGUAAUUUAUUUUAAUUUGUCUCGUUUAGUUGAACUUUUUAGUUGAAUUUCUGUUGGCCUUUAUAUCUAUUUAGAUUAUUAUCCAUUUAGUACGUAG